rnacentral:rRNA from 1 species
AUGCUCACGGGUCUGGACAUCAUUGGAGAUACCAGCCUCAAAACCACCAGUGGUGGAUUCAAUGAUAAGCACCGCAAAAUCAGCCCGGGAGGUCCCAGUGAUCAUGUUCUUGAUGAAAUCACGGUGUCCAGGAGCAUCAAUGACAGUGCAGGAGCAAUGUGCAUCUGUCUUGCAUGA